GACGAACGCUGGCGGCGUGCUUAACACAUGCAAGUCGAACGCUGAAGCUUGGUGCUUGCACUGGGUGGCUGAGUGGCGAACGGGUGAGUAAUACGUGAGUAACCUGCCCUUGACUCUGGGAUAAGCCUGGGAAACUGGGUCUAAUACUGGAUACGACAUGCCACUGCAUGGUGGUGUGUGGAAAGGGUUUUACUGGUUUUGGAUGGGCUCACGGCCUAUCAGCUUGUUGGUGGGGUAAUGGCCUACCAAGGCGACGACGGGUAGCCGGCCUGAGAGGGUGACCGGCCACACUGGGACUGAGACACGGCCCAGACUCCUACGGGAGGCAGCAGUGGGGAAUAUUGCACAAUGGGCGGAAGCCUGAUGCAGCGACGCCGCGUGAGGGAUGACGGCCUUCGGGUUGUAAACCUCUUUCAGCACGGAAGAAGCGAGAGUGACGGUACGUGCAGAAGAAGCGCCGGCUAACUACGUG
rnacentral:rRNA from 1 species